GUCUGUGCCUCGCUCGCUUCCCGGCUCAUGUGGAAAGCCAGCCAGAGUGGUCAAGAGGUCCUUUCUCCUUCCUUCAACCUGAGAACUUGGCAGUGAUCAAAAGGAGGUGAUUAGUAGCUACAGAGAAAAAACACCAGCAGGCAAGGAGUUAACAGAGACUGAGCCGUUCACCUCCAGGAUUGGGAUUUGGCGGGGAGGGGGGGCGGUCACAAAGGCAAGAGGAAUCCUGGCUAAACAGGCGCAAGUCGUGGAAGCCAACUCUGAAGAACAAAGUGGAGGGUCCGUUAAAAGUUAAUUCAGUAAAUAAACUUCAUUGGUGAUAAAACAAAUAAGAAAGAUGGAAACUCCAACUUAAAAUAGCCAAAAGAUAAGAAAAAUAAAUCGCUUUUAUGUGGCCUGAA
rnacentral:lncRNA from 1 species